rnacentral:rRNA from 1 species
GAAUUUUGCUCAAUGGGCGCAAGCCUGAAGCAGCGACGCCGCGUGAAUGAUGAAGUCUUUCGGGAUGUAAAGUUCUGUCGAUGGGGACAAUAAUGAUGGUACCCAUAGAGGAAGCACCGGCAAACUAUGUGCCAGCAGCCGCGGUAAUACAUAGGGUGCAAGCGUUAUCCGGAUUUACUGGGCGUAAAGCGUAUGUAGGCGGUAUUUUAAGUCAAACUUCAAAUCCCGGGGCUCAACUUCGGUUCGGGUUUGAUACUGGAAUACUUGAGUUUGGGAGAGGAAAGCGGAACUAACAGUGUAGCGGUGAAAUGCGUAGAUAUUGUUAGGAACACCCGUGGCGAAGGCGGCUUUCUGGAUCAAUACUGACGCUGAGAUACGAAAGCGUGGGGAGCAAACAGGAUUAGAUACCCUGGUAGUCCACGCUGUAAACGAUGCACAUUAGGUAUAGGGGGUAUCGACUCCCUCUGUGCCGAAGCUAACGCGUUAAAUGUGCCGCCUGGGGAGUACGGUCGCAAGAUUAAAACUCAAAGGAAUUGACGGGGGCCCGCACAAGCAGUGGAUCAUGUGGUUUAAUUCGACGAUACCCGAAAAACCUUACCAGAACUUGACAUCUGGGGAAUUUCGCAGAAGUGCGAAAGUGCCCGCAAGGGAGCCUCAAGACAGGUGGUGCAUGGUUGUCGUCAGCUCGUGUCGUGAGAUGUUAGGUUAAGUCCUGCAACGAGCGCAACCCUCGUGUUGUGUUGCUACAUUAAGUUGAGCACUCUCAACAGACUGCCCGUGGUAAACGGGAGGAAGGUGGGGAUGAUGUCAAAUCAUCAUGCCCUUUAUGUUCUGGGCUACACACAUGAUACAAUGGCAAGCACAAAGGGAAGCCAAGCCGCAAGGCGGAGCAAAUCUCAAAAAACUUGCCUCAGUUCAGAUUAUAGGCUGCAACUCGCCUGUAUGAAGAUGGAAUUGCUAGUAAA